GAUGAACGCUGGCGACGUGCCUAAUACAUGCAAGUAGAACGCUGAAGCUUGGUGCUUGCACCGAGCGGAUGAGUUGCGAACGGGUGAGUAACGCGUAGGUAACCUGCCUCUUAGCGGGGGAUAACUAUUGGAAACGAUAGCUAAUACCGCAUAAAAGUCGAUAUCGCAUGAUAUUGAUUUGAAAGGUGCAAUUGCAUCACUAAGAGAUGGACCUGCGUUGUAUUAGCUAGUUGGUGAGGUAACGGCUCACCAAGGCGACGAUACAUAGCCGACCUGAGAGGGUGAUCGGCCACACUGGGACUGAGACACGGCCCAGACUCCUACGGGAGGCAGCAGUAGGGAAUCUUCGGCAAUGGGGGCAACCCUGACCGAGCAACGCCGCGGGAGUGAAGAAGGGUUUCGGAUCGUAAAGCUCUGUUGUAAGAGAAGAACGAGUGUGAGAGUGGAAAGUUCACACUGUGACGGUAACUUACCAGAAAGGGACGGCUAACUACGUG
rnacentral:rRNA from 1 species